UAAUACGUAGGGGGCAAGCGUUGCUCGGAAUUACUGGGCGUAAAGGGUGUGUAGGUGGUUGAGUAAGUCAAAGAUGAAAUCCCAGGGCUCAACUCUGGAAUUGUCUUUGAAACUGUUCAGCUUGAGGAUAGUUGAGGAGGACGGAAUUCCCGGUGGAGCGGUGAAAUGCGUAGAUAUCGGGAGGAACACCAGAGGCGAAGGCGGUUCUCUAAGCUAUCCCUGACACUGAGACACGAAAGCUAGGGGAGCGAACGGGAUUAGAUACCCCGGUAGUCCUAGCCGUAAACGAUGGGCACUAGAUGUUUCCGUUUUAAACGGGAGUGUCGAAGCUAACGCGUUAAGUACCCCGCCUGGGGAGUACGGUCGCAAGGCUG
rnacentral:rRNA from 1 species